UGGCGGACGGGUGAGUAAUGUCUGGGAAACUGCCUGAUGGAGGGGGAUAACUACUGGAAACGGUAGCUAAUACCGCAUAACGUCGCAAGACCAAAGAGGGGGACCUUCGGGCCUCUUGCCAUCAGAUGUGCCCAGAUGGGAUUGGCUAGUAGGUGGGGUAACGGGCUCACCUAGGCGACGAUCCCUAGCUGGUCCGAGAGGAUGACCAGCCACACUGGAACUGAGACACGGUCCAGACUCCUACGGGAGGCAGCAUG
rnacentral:rRNA from 1 species